rnacentral:rRNA from 1 species
GGUUAAGCGACUAAGCGUACACGGUGGAUGCCCUGGCAGUCAGAGGCGAUGAAGGGCGUGCUAAUCUGCGAUAAGCGCCGGUAAGGUGAUAUGAACCAUUAUAACCGGCGAUACCCGAAUGGGGAAACCCAGUGUGACUCGUCACACUAUCAUUAACUGAAUCCAUAGGUUAAUGAGGCGAACCGGGGGAACUGAAACAUCUAAGUACCCCGAGGAAAAGAAAUCAACCGAGAUUCCCCCAGUAGCGGCGAGCGAACGGGGAGGAGCCCAGAGCCUGAAUCAGCAUGUGUGUUAGUGGAAGCGUCUGGAAAGGCGCGCGAUACAGGGUGACAGCCCCGUACACAAAAGCGCAUGUGCUGUGAGCUCGAUGAGUAGGGCGGGACACGUGGUAUCCUGUCUGAAUAUGGGGGGACCAUCCUCCAAGGCUAAAUACUCCUGACUGACCGAUAGUGAACCAGUACCGUGAGGGAAAGGCGAAAAGAACCCCGGCGAGGGGAGUGAAAAAGAACCUGAAACCGUGUACGUACAAGCAGUGGGAGCACAGGUUUACCUGUGUGACUGCGUACCUUUUGUAUAAUGGGUCAGCGACUUAUAUUCUGUAGCAAGGUUAACCGAAUAGGGGAGCCGUAGGGAAACCGAGUCUUAACCGGGCGUUAAGUUGCAGGGUAUAGACCCGAAACCCGGUGAUCUAGCCAUGGGCAGGUUGAAGGUUGGGUAACACUAACUGGAGGACCGAACCGACUAAUGUUGAAAAAUUAGCGGAUGACCUGUGGCUGGGGGUGAAAGGCCAAUCAAACCGGGAGAUAGCUGGUUCUCCCCGAAAGCUAUUUAGGUAGCGCCUCGUGAAUUCAUCUCCGGGGGUAGAGCACUGUUUCGGCUAGGGGGCCAUCCCGGCUUACCAACCCGAUGCAAACUGCGAAUACCGGAGAAUGUUAUCACGGGAGACACACGGCGGGUGCUAACGUCCGUCGUGAAGAGGGAAACAACCCAGACCGCCAGCUAAGGUCCCAAAGUCAUGGUUAAGUGGGAAACGAUGUGGGAAGGCCCAGACAGCCAGGAUGUUGGCUUAGAAGCAGCCAUCAUUUAAAGAAAGCGUAAUAGCUCACUGGUCGAGUCGGCCUGCGCGGAAGAUGUAACGGGGCUAAACCAUGCACCGAAGCUGCGGCAGCGACGCUGAUGCGUUGUUGGGUAGGGGAGCGUUCUGUAAGCCUGUGAAGGUGGCCUGUGAGGGUUGCUGGAGGUAUCAGAAGUGCGAAUGCUGACAUAAGUAACGAUAAAGCGGGUGAAAAGCCCGCUCGCCGGAAGACCAAGGGUUCCUGUCCAACGUUAAUCGGGGCAGGGUGAGUCGACCCCUAAGGCGAGGCCGAAAGGCGUAGUCGAUGGGAAACGGGUUAAUAUUCCCGUACUUGGUGUUACUGCGAAGGGGGACGGAGAAGGCUAUGUUGGCCGGGCGACGGUUGUCCCGGUUUAAGCGUGUAGGUGUGUGUUCCAGGUAAAUCCGGUUCACUUUAACACUGAGGCGUGAUGACGAGGCACUACGGUGCUGAAGCAACAAAUGCCCUGCUUCCAGGAAAAGCCUCUAAGCAUCAGGUAACAUCAAAUCGUACCCCAAACCGACACAGGUGGUCAGGUAGAGAAUACCAAGGCGCUUGAGAGAACUCGGGUGAAGGAACUAGGCAAAAUGGUGCCGUAACUUCGGGAGAAGGCACGCUGACACGUAGGUGAAGUGAUUUACUCAUGGAGCUGAAGUCAGUCGAAGAUACCAGCUGGCUGCAACUGUUUAUUAAAAACACAGCACUGUGCAAACACGAAAGUGGACGUAUACGGUGUGACGCCUGCCCGGUGCCGGAAGGUUAAUUGAUGGGGUCAGCGCAAGCGAAGCUCCUGAUCGAAGCCCCGGUAAACGGCGGCCGUAACUAUAACGGUCCUAAGGUAGCGAAAUUCCUUGUCGGGUAAGUUCCGACCUGCACGAAUGGCGUAAUGAUGGCCAGGCUGUCUCCACCCGAGACUCAGUGAAAUUGAACUCGCUGUGAAGAUGCAGUGUACCCGCGGCAAGACGGAAAGACCCCGUGAACCUUUACUAUAGCUUGACACUGAACAUUGAGCCUUGAUGUGUAGGAUAGGUGGGAGGCUUUGAAGCGUGGACGCCAGUCUGCAUGGAGCCGGCCUUGAAAUACCACCCUUUAAUGUUUGAUGUUCUAACGUGGACCCGUGAUCCGGGUUGCGGACAGUGUCUGGUGGGUAGUUUGACUGGGGCGGUCUCCUCCUAAAGAGUAACGGAGGAGCACGAAGGUUGGCUAAUCCUGGUCGGACAUCAGGAGGUUAGUGCAAUGGCAUAAGCCAGCUUGACUGCGAGCGUGACGGCGCGAGCAGGUGCGAAAGCAGGUCAUAGUGAUCCGGUGGUUCUGAAUGGAAGGGCCAUCGCUCAACGGAUAAAAGGUACUCCGGGGAUAACAGGCUGAUACCGCCCAAGAGUUCAUAUCGACGGCGGUGUUUGGCACCUCGAUGUCGGCUCAUCACAUCCUGGGGCUGAAGUAGGUCCCAAGGGUAUGGCUGUUCGCCAUUUAAAGUGGUACGCGAGCUGGGUUUAGAACGUCGUGAGACAGUUCGGUCCCUAUCUGCCGUGGGCGCUGGAGAACUGAGGGGGGCUGCUCCUAGUACGAGAGGACCGGAGUGGACGCAUCACUGGUGUUCGGGUUGUCAUGCCAAUGGCACUGCCCGGUAGCUAAAUGCGGAAGAGAUAAGUGCUGAAAGCAUCUAAGCACGAAACUUGCCCCGAGAUGAGUUCUCCCUGAGACUUAGAGUCUCCUGAAGGAACGUUGAAGACGACGACGUUGAUAGGCCGGGUGUGUAAGCGCAGCGAUGCGUUGAGCUAACCGGUACUAAUGAACCGUGAGGCUUAACCUU